rnacentral:rRNA from 1 species
GACGAACGCUGGCGGCGCGCUUAACACAUGCAAGUCGAACGGAAAGGCCUGCUUUCCCUUGUGGAUUGCGGGUACUCGAGUGGCGAACGGGUGAGUAACACGUGAGUGAUCUGCCCCCAACUUGGGUAUAAGCCUGGGAAACUGGGUCUAAUUCCCGAUAGGACUGCAGGGUGGUGCCUGUGGUGGAAAACGAUUUUCUAGUGGUUGGGGAUGAGCUCGCGGCCUAUCAGCUUGUUGGUGGGGUAAUGGCCUACCAAGGCGGCGACGGGUAGCCGGCCUGGGAGGGUGGACGGCCACAUUGGGACUGAGAUACGGCCCAGACUCCUACGGGAGGCAGCAGUGGGGAAUAUUGCACAAUGGGCGGAAGCCUGAUGCAGCGACGCAGCGUGGGGGAUGACGGCCUUCGGGUUGUAAACUCCUUUCGACCGCGAGGAAGCCACCUGGUUGGAAGGGUGGUGACGGUAGUGGUAGAAGAAGCACCGGCUAACUACGUG